CUGUGGAGCUGAUGAAAUCCUGCAGGGAGCUUCACGGUGACAGCAAGAGGAGAAACACAUCCCCAUAUGCCCCGCAGAGUUUGAAGUCCCGGCUGCACCUCUCCCCAGCAGCAGGUUGACUCUGGAAAGUUGCAGCGUUCUUACCUACAGAGUGGGAACAGUACUACCCAUUGCACAGAGUGGGUGCAAAGCUCUGUGACGGAAUACAUGGAUUCUUUGCCCAUAAAGUGGAGCACGAAAGCAGGACCCAGAAUGGGAGGAGCUUCCAGAGGACCGGAACACUUGCCUUUGAGCGGGUCUACACUGCCAAAGUGUAUUUCAAGGCUCAGCCAGUGGCAGGCAUGCUGGGGACUAUGGACUACGGACUAGGGGCCUGUCACAGAGGAAGGCCUCAUGCUAGAGAGCUAAGGGAGG
rnacentral:lncRNA from 10 species